rnacentral:rRNA from 1 species
AUUGAACGCUGGCGGCAGGCCUAACACAUGCAAGUCGAGCGGCAGCGGGAAAGUAGCUUGCUACUUUUGCCGGCGAGCGGCGGACGGGUGAGUAAUGCCUGGGAAAUUGCCCAGUCGAGGGGGAUAACAGUUGGAAACGACUGCUAAUACCGCAUACGCCCUACGGGGGAAAGCAGGGGACCUUCGGGCCUUGCGCGAUUGGAUAUGCCCAGGUGGGAUUAGCUAGUUGGCGAGGUAAUGGCUCACCAAGGCGACGAGCCCUAGCUGGUCUGAGAGGAUGAUCAGCCACACUGGAACUGAGACACGGUCCAGACUCCUACGGGAGGCAGCAGUGGGGAAUAUUGCACAAUGGGGGAAACCCUGAUGCAGCCAUGCCGCGUGUGUGAAGAAGGCCUUCGGGUUGUAAAGCACUUUCAGCGAGGAGGAAAGGUUGAUGCCUAAUACGUAUCAACUGUGACGUUACUCGCAGAAGAAGCACCGGCUAACUCCGUGCCAGCCGCCGCAGUAACAC